GAUGAACGCUGGCGGCGUGCCUAAUACAUGCAAGUCGAGCGAACGGACGAGAAGCUUGCUUCUCUGAUGUUAGCGGCGGACGGGUGAGUAACACGUGGAUAACCUACCUAUAAGACUGGGAUAACUUCGGGAAACCGGAGCUAAUACCGGAUGAUAUUUUGAACCGCAUGGUUCAAAAGUGAAAGACGGUCUUGCUGUCACUUAUAGAUGGAUCCGCGCUGCAUUAGCUAGUUGGUAAGGUAACGGCUUACCAAGGCAACGAUGCAUAGCCGACCUGAGAGGGUGAUCGGCCAAACUGGAACUGAGACACGGUCCAGACUCCUACGGGAGGCAGCAGUAGGGAAUCUUACGCAAUGGGCGAAAGCCUGACGGAGCAACGCCGCGUGAGUGAUGAAGGUCUUCGGAUCGUAAAACUCUGUUAUUAGGGAAGAACAUAUGUGUAAGUAACUGUGCACAUCUUGACGGUACCUAAUCAGAAAGCCACGGCUAACUACGUG
rnacentral:rRNA from 1 species